rnacentral:lncRNA from 1 species
CAAGAUUCCAAUAGCAGAUACAGUGCACUGAAUGUCCAACAUCAGAUGUUGAAAAGCCAACACGAGGAGCUAAAGAAACAGCACAGUGACUUGGAAGAGGAACAUCGCAAACAAGGGGAAGACUUCAGUAGAACAUUUAAUGACCAUAAGCAAAAAUACUUGCAGCUCCAGCAAGAAAAAGAACAAGAACUUUCUAAGCUAAAAGAGACUGUAUACAAUUUGAGAGAAGAGAAUAGACAACUAAGGAAAGCACACCAAGACAUACAUACACAGCUUCAAGAUGUCAAGGUAAAAGAAAACCAAACGUUUCACUAUUUAGUGUUUGCCUGCUUUAUUUGGUAGAAUGACUUUAAAAAGUCAUUCCCUAAUUGGCCUGCUUUACAAAUCCACGUUGUUAUUGUGGGCUUUGCAUUAACUAGAGUGUACCUAAUAUUUUUACCACUUCAGCAUUGUAAGCUAAAAGAUGGUCUGAAAAUCUGAAUAUUCUCAUUAGUACUGAAAUUAUUCUCAUGCUAGUUACAUAUUAAUAAGCUUUUUAUUUAUAAAAGUUUACUAAUAAUGA